CUUCGAUGGCCUUCUCUGCCGCUUCUCGGGUUGUGUAAGUGAGACACACACCGUCGACACCUCUCAUUGCAAAAUAGAAGAUAGAUUCGAUUUCUCCAUAAGGGCUGAAACGGUCUUGUAUGUGCUGCUCUUGGAUACUCGAGUUGAGGAAACGGAGUAAAGCGUUUUAAUAGUUAAAUCCAAAGGUGGAUCCACAUGCCCCAUGUAAACAUUUCUAGCCAGUAACUCGAUGGGUUUUUGGAUUGUCUAAACUGUGGACAAGCAGAAAUUCACACCAUAAAAGUGGUUAAGAAAGGCAACAAGGAGAGCGAGAGAUAGAGGUUACCCUAUUCUACUAUAAAAAACUAUGGGAACAUUAUGUGCAAAUGGACAUCUGGCACCAGCCAUACACAUACGUCGACUUGAAGAAACCGCAAACUAAUGGAUGGCCAUCAAAACGUCCAAGUUGGCUCUACAUAGAUCAGAUACGAAAAAAAAAACAAGAAAAUCAUAGACGGUUGAAGCAAGCAACCAUCAUAUGUUAGACGAAUUCAUAUCCAUCACACAAAAUUUUCAGACAAAUUUCCAAACCCUAAACCUAGACGAUUAACACAGAAACACAUCAACAACGUGAAGAAGUGAGAUCCACAAAAUAUCAUUCCCAUUGGGCGACGAUCUAUCGUGUUUCUCUUAUCCAUUCUAUUCUCCUCCUAGGCCAUGGCGAUAAACAUGACGACUGGUUAUUAUUCUCUUUGGAUGAACAAACGCUAGGGCUGUUAUUCCUUCUUGUAAUAUUGGUGUAGUUUUCUUUGUCUCUUUACCUAAAGUUGUCGUUUAAAGAAAAAGACCUUCAUGUUUGUUGGUCCGGACUAGCGUGGUGGGCUGAUAUGGCCAUCAAAACAUCCAAGUUGCUCUAUAUAGAUCAGAUAUGAAAACAAAAUAUGAAAAUCAUAGAAGAAAUUAGCAACCAUCAUAUGUUAGACGAAUUCGGAUCCAACACACAAAAGUUCCAAACAAAUUUCCAAACCCUAAACC
rnacentral:lncRNA from 1 species